GAUGAACGCUAGCGGGAGGCCUAACACAUGCAAGCCGAGCGGGAUUUGUUGGUUAGCUUGCUAACUAACAAUGAGAGCGGCGUACGGGUGCGUAGCACGUGUGCAACCUGCCUUUAUCUGGGGGAUAGCCUUUCGAAAGGAAGAUUAAUACCCCAUAACAUAUUGAUUGGCAUCAGUUAAUAUUGAAAGCUCCGGCGGAUAGAGAUGGGCACGCGUAAGAUUAGCUAGUUGGUGAGGUAACGGCUCACCAAGGCUGCGAUCUUUAGGGGGCCUGAGAGGGUGAUCCCCCACACUGGUACUGAGACACGGACCAGACUCCUACGGGAGGCAGCAGUGAGGAAGAUUGGACAAUGGGUGAGAGCCUGAUCCAGCCAUCCCGCGUGAAGGACUAAGGACCUAUGGUUUGUAAACUUCUUUUAUACAGGGAUAAACCUACUCUCGUGAGGGUAGCUGAAGGUACUGUAUGAAUAAGCACCGGCUAACUCCGUG
rnacentral:rRNA from 1 species